rnacentral:rRNA from 1 species
UGUUUCGGCUAGGGGGUCAUCCCGACUUACCAACCCGAUGCAAACUACGAAUACCGAAGAAUGUUAUCACGGGAGACACACGGCGGGUGCUAACGUCCGUCGUGAAGAGGGAAACAACCCAGACCGCCAGCUAAGGUCCCAAAGUCAUGGUUAAGUGGGAAACGAUGUGGGAAGGCACAGACAGCCAGGAUGUUGGCUUAGAAGCAGCCAUCAUUUAAAGAAAGCGUAAUAGCUCACUGGUCGAGUCGGCCUGCGCGGAAGAUGUAACGGGGCUAAACCAUGCACCGAAGCUGCGGCAGCGACACUAUGUGUUGUUGGGUAGGGGAGCGUUCUGUAAGCCUGCGAAGGUGUGCUGUGAGGCAUGCUGGAGGUAUCAGAAGUGCGAAUGCUGACAUAAGUAACGAUAAAGCGGGUGAAAAGCCCGCUCGCCGGAAGACCAAGGGUUCCUGUCCAACGUUAAUCGGGGCAGGGUGAGUCGACCCCUAAGGCGAGGCCGAAAGGCGUAGUCGAUGGGAAACAGGUUAAUAUUCCUGUACUUGGUGUUACUGCGAAGGGGGGACGGAGAAGGCUAUGUUAGCCGGGCGACGGUUGUCCCGGUUUAAGCAUGUAGGCUGGUUGUCCAGGCAAAUCCGGAUAAUCAAGGCUGAGGUGUGAUGACGAGGCACUACGGUGCUGAAGUAACAAAUGCCCUGCUUCCAGGAAAAG